UCAAAUUGAUGGGGAGACAUAUCUAUUAGACACGGAUGGUCAAUCCAUCUACGUAAAUGCAAAUGUGGACAUUUAUGAUUUCAACGUUCCAAAAGAUGUACCUGUUUCACAGCUCAAUGGAAAAAAACGUAAACGUUUUCAUGAUAUUCUUGAAAAGUUAUAUUCAGACAAAAAAUCAGAUUGUGUUAAAAAGAAGUUAUCUUAACAAAAGAUAGUAAAUAAAAAGCAAGGAAAUUUAUCACUGGAAAUUGAAAAUUCAUCAUUGGAAGUAGAUGAAAUAGAAAACAAGAAGACUUUUAUUAAAAGAAUUCUACAUCUUGGAUGGAAACAUAGAAACCAAUUAAAUUCUAGAUACGAGUACAUGGGUGCAACAGUUGGACCAAGAAUAAAGAUUACUCUUAAUGGGAAUGAAGAUUAUCCAUUACAAAAAUUAAAGGACGUUCUUCUAAAAGAAUAUAUCACCGAAA